GCCUAUUUGGGAUACCCAUUUAAAUGGGAGUUGAUUAAGGAUUUAACUUAAGGUUAAUUAACUUAAACCUAAGUUUUAUUUUCUUUAAAUUUUUCUCCCGAUUCACUUCCUUCCCCGAUCCCUUCUUCCCUGACUCCCCUCCCUCGCGAUCCGAUUUCAUCGCCAGUCAUCGGGAAGCGACGCCGAUCGCCGGCACAAGGCAGCCCUUGAUCGUUGAGGAGGAAAGCUACCGCCCCGACCUCUCCCCUUUCUCUCUCCCUCGCCGCGAGUCUCUUUUCUCCCGAGCCCCGAGCCCCUUUCUCUCGAUUUCUCCUCGUCGAUCGUCGACCCACGAGACGUCGGAGCCAAGCUCGCAAGGUCUCCGAUCACCUCUCCUCACCGGAUCUUGAAGGUACUAAAGAUGUCCAAGCCAUCUCUGGAGGUGUGAUCGCUUCCUCGGUUGGUCCUUUUCCCCGUCCAGGAGAUCCGAUUAGGGUUCAAUGAGGGGCAUAGAUCCGCGUCGUCUCAAGCCAAUUGAACUUCUCAUUCAUCCUCUUCAAUUCGUUUGUUGGAGAGUGAUCGGUUGCUCUUCAUCAACCGGAUUGGAGUAGGCGAUGGCACCUGGAAAGGACCAAAUCUAGGUUGUUCUUGUUCUGGAUUGGAGGAAGGCAUCGGAUCAAGGUAUUGGUAGAUUUCUCUUCUACCGAUCACUGCUUCUCCACUUCUUGAAGCUGUGGAGGUCACGGGUGAGGAGGCAAGGGACUAUUGAGGGAGGAUAGGUGUGUGUGUGUGCUUGUAGCUUAUGGACAGGGGUCAUGGGGUUGUGAGCUACUGGAUUAGCUGCUUCAUCUUAAGGUAAGUGUUUUUCUAGUGAUGUACUACUAGUUUUCUUAUUAGAGUGCUACUCUAUUGGGUUUUCUAAGGGAUUGUAGAAUUGAUUCUUGAUGUUAGUAGAUGACACGUAGAUUAAACGAUGGUGUUAAAUGAAUUAAUUGAUUUGAAUUUGGGAUUUGGUUGUGAUAAGUUGAUUUGUGAUGGUUAUUUGGUGAAUGAUUUAUGUAAAUGGAUACAUGAUCAUUAUUUGUAUGUGUUGGAUUGAUUGAGGUUUAUAUUGGGUUGAAAUUUGUGGAUAUGAUGAUUGGUUGAUGUGGAUUAUUAUGUGAUCAUUCUUGAGAUCAUUGGAUUGCUUUUUGGUUGGAUUGUCUGAUGUGGUGGUUUGGUUAGUUGUAGAUGAUGAUGUUAGGUUGUUGUGGAUUUAGGAUGAGUUUGGAUUAGUGAGUUUUGGAUUGAUUAAUAGAUUGUGGAUUAUGUUUGGAUCUAGAAAGAGUUGAAGUGAGGAAUUAGGUAAGUUACUUCGAUUAGGGUUUUCCCUAAUUAGAUU